AAAUGACGUGUGAAUGAAAUGACAACAUAAGGCAUAGCAUAGGAUUGCUGCUAUCUAAGACUGUGAAAAUAUAAAAAUAGGCUGAUUUGAAUCUCCAUGUGGCUUGCAUACUUUUUUUUUUUCCCCACUUUUUUUUUUCCUUCCUUUUCUUCUCUGCUUGGAGGUAAAAUGUGGGAAGAAAUACAGCUUAUUGAGUUCUCCCAGCAAAUGCAUUUCAGCCUGUAAACUGAAGGUUAACUAACUAACUAAUAAAUUAACUAACUUUAAUGCUCAUUUUAUCUGAUGGUUAUUUCCUAUAACGGGGGCAAUUAAGGUCUUGAACUGACACUGUGUCAGAACUGCUGAUAUUCUGAUGAAAAAGUAUUUUCUAAGUCACUAGUAAUGAACCCUCAUGGUAAGAAAGAACUGAAAUUUCAAGUGCUCACAGCAGCAGUAGAGCUAACAUUUUGUAACUCUCUUUUAUAUUCAUAGCUAUAAAUAAGUGGUUUGUUUGUUUCAGGGUAUUCACAUUUAGUGUCAGGUUUCUGUCAUUUCUCUGGACUCGUACAAUAAGGCAUAUUGUCAUACUUACCAGUCUUGUAAAGAUUCCUAGUAAUCUUUGUAUUUCUUUUUUUUUUUUAUUUUAGCAGGAAUGAACUCUGGGAUUCCUGUAAAUAGACACAGAACAUUUUCUGCUUUUAUUGCCACAAUUGUUUCUUGGCUUACUUGGAAACUGGAAAGUGUUUAGAGAUUAUAUUCUCUCCAGACUGUCAUUGCUUCAUAAAAUGCACAACUUUAUGAACUACCACAGGCCUAUGGACAGAUUCUACCCAGAAAUUCCGUUUUGUCCACUAGCACUCAUGAGAGAACAGAAACCUGGCUUCUCAGCGUUCAGAAGCUCCAAUGGACUGGAAUUUUUUAUUUUUCUUUUUCUGCUAUGUAGAACAAUAGCAGUUUCCAAGACAGCAUUGGACUUAAGGGGUGCUGCUAGAGCUGCCUUACUGUUGCAAGGAUGAGAAUCAUAAAAAGGAAGAAUUUACACUCACCCAACAGUAUAGAUGACAUAAAAAAAGCAUUGGCAAGGAAAAAAAAAAACAUUUCUCAGGUCAUACAUUCCUAAAUGUAAUUGAAGACUGAGCUGACCUCCAGUUCUUCUCUAAAAAUCUGAUUAGAAUUUAAUUUCAAAUUGCAAGGUUAGGUGGUGAAUGGGAAGCUUCUUGCCUAACUGGCAGUUAUUGCCCUUUGGAAACUCUACGUAUGGCACAAGGAGAUAGAGUUUUGAUGCAUUAGUGAGAGAAGUUGAAGAUUUUUGUGAAACACUUCCUGCACUUGAAUAUAUAUUUGUUUAUUAGUUUUCUCCAUGUAGCAAACUACACAGAGUUCUCUAACUCCAGUGGUUCCAGUUGGCCUGAUUUAUAUUACUGUGUAACAGCCCAGCCACUAAGAAGUACUUUAGAGCAAUGUGUAUGUAUUUUUAUACCUAAAGGAAUUUCUCUCUGACUGCUUCAAAGCCUGCUAAAUUAAUGCUGUGUUUUUAACUUCAAAAAUACACAAUUUGUAACAGCAUAACACUUUAUUUUUAAAUUUCUAUUAUAGUAACACAAAAUUAGUGUUUUGUGAUAAAAAAAAUAAAUAUGUAGUUUAAUUCUUGAAGCUCCUCUUUUCCUUUAAUACGACAGUGAUUAACUUUUUAACUAAGCAUUUGCAUAACACCAGAAAAAAUUUAUGUAAAGCCUAAUGGCUGCAUACAGCCAGUAAAAGGAAACAGGAUGUCAGGAGAGCUUCCAUCAAGGCUUUGGAACUUGAAAUUCUUGAAUAAACACCCACAAUUCAAGGAAAUGUGUGCUCUAUCAGCCUAAAUUCUGCCACUUUGUUAUUUUGUGAAGAUUUUAAAUUUUGAACAUAUAAGGAGAUUAUCAGGUGAAUUCAUCAUGUACUGAAGUAGAGAAAAUGGGGACGAUAAUAAAGAGGACUCAUAACUGAGUGAAAAUGUGUAUCAGAAAACAACUAAAUACAUGCUUCUAAGACUCCAUGUACACAAAAUCAUUUAGGGGCAACAGGAAAGGACAGG
ensembl:lncRNA